GUUUACAAAGUAUUUGAGUGAAGUCAGGCAGUAUGACAAGCAGGCACCCACGAAGGUCUCUGAUUGGUGCAGCCCCCUGGGCCAAUGAGCUACAGGAAUCUCUACUGAGGAAGCCUUUCUGGAAAGUCAGAUUCAGCGUCUUUACUGAGGAGCCAAGAGAUGGAGACCCUCCUGCAUGUACUUGUGGGGAUGCUGGGGCUGCAGGCAGCCUGGGUCAGCAGCCAAGAACUGCAGCAGAGUCAGUCUCUGGUCACCCAAGAGGGAGAAGAUAUCACCAUAAACUGCAAUUCAUCACAGACUUUAUAUGCCUUGCACUGGUACAGACAAAAUGGUGGAGGUCCUGUCUUCUUGUUGAUGCUACAGAAAGGCAGGGAUGAGAAGAGUCACGGAAACAUCGCUGCCAAGUUGGAUGACAAAAAGCAGCAAAGUUCCCUGCAUAUCACAGCUGCCCGGCCCAGCCACUCAGGCACCUACUUCUGUGCAGGAAAUGCACAGUGA